AUUGAACGCUGGCGGCAGGCCUAACACAUGCAAGUCGAGCGAGAAAGCACUUCGGUGUGAGUAGAGCGGCGGACGGGUGAGUAACGCGUAGGAAUUUGCCCAGUAGUGGGGGACAACAUGUGGAAACGCAUGCUAAUACCGCAUACGCCCUACGGGGGAAAGCAGGGGAUCUUCGGACCUUGCGCUAUUGGAUGAGCCUGCGUCGGAUUAGCUAGUUGGUGGGGUAAAGGCCUACCAAGGCGACGAUCCGUAGCUGGUCUGAGAGGAUGAUCAGCCACACUGGAACUGAGACACGGUCCAG
rnacentral:rRNA from 1 species